AAGAACACAAAGAUCUGUACAAGGACGUCAUGAUGGAGGAUCACUGGCCUCUCACAUCACCAGUUAAGGAACAGAGAAGAACACCGGAGAGAUGUCCCAAUCCUCCUCUUCCACAUGAUGGUUCAGAAGAACAUCACAAUGUCCCACAGGAUGAUCAGCUUGUUAAUCUGGGUGAAGAUCUGAACAAUAUUAAUCCUACAAAGACAUAUGUGAGG